UUUUAUAAACAACACUGGGAUAGGCACUGAGACUUAGGAAACAAGUUCCCAGCUUUCCUACAGGAGCUUAACGUCUGUCUAGCUGGGUAGCAAACACCUACCAUGUGAAACAGCAAUAAUGAAAGGGGGUUUGUGAUGACAAGUCAUGGAAUGUGUUUAGAGAGAUCAGAGAUGGAAACAGGGUGAUGUCAUAGAAGAUCUCUUCCCCACAGGUAGUGGGACAUGCUACAGCCUGAUAAAGACCAUGGCUAGGAUGCAAAGAACAUUCAAGUAAAGGUUCCAGCAGGAACAAAGUCUUGGGAUCUAGAUUCAGUAUGGUAUGUUCUCAGUAAAGAAAGAAUGCCAGCAGGUUCUGCAAGGACCUGCCUGAUGACUCAGUAUCUCUUCUGGGAGAUGACCUGCUGCCCCUCUCCCUGACAACACUCAGGCCACCCUCCCAGGGAAAAGGGUGUCAUCAGGGAUCCUGGAUCCCCAUCAAGCCCAGCUCUACUCCUGCUCCCACCAAACUUACCAAAACUGGAAGACCUCUUUGAGUAACAAAGAAAAACAAGGAAGAGAGAAGUGGAAGAAGAGUAUAGAGAAGAUGUCAUCAAGGCUGCCCUGCCUGCUCUUCAGGAGCUAAAAGUCCUGAAAGUCCCCAGCAGACCUCUACAAACCAAAACCACAUGUCCUGCCUCUAAAUGGCUUCCACAGAGGAAUCACAUCAUCUCAUUUACUUUUUUUUUUAGUCUCUCAGCAGUUUAAACUCCUACUUGUUCUUUAGGGCUUAAUCAGAAUCACCUCCUGAGCUCAGUCCCUCUGGUUUAUGCUUCCUUAGCAUCCAGUGGUGGCCCCAUUGCAGGAUGUGUAGGAUAAGCUGUAAUUAUGUCUUCUUGGUUGUCUCCCCUGCUAGACUGUGAACUUUUUGAGGCCAAAGCCAUCUUACUUAUUUCUGUAUUCUCAGUCCUUAACAUGGGGCCUAUCAAACCUCAA